GAUGAAGAACGCAGCGAAACGCGAUAUGUAAUGUGAAUUGCAGAAUUCAGUGAAUCAUCGAAUCUUUGAACGCACAUGGCGCCUUCCAGUAUCCUGGGAGGCAUGCCUGUCCGAGCAUCGUUUCAACCCUCGAGCCCUCGUGGCCCGGCGUUGGGGAUCUGCCACGGCAGGCCCCGAAAUACAGUGGCGGACCCGUUAGGCCCUUCCUUUGCGUAGUAGCAUCAGCCUCGCAUCGGGAGCCGGCGGGCUCUCCUGCCUCUAAACCCCCCAACAAGCCCGCUCCGGCGGCACCAAGGUUGACCUCGGAUCAGGUAGGAAUACCCGCUGAACUUAAGCAUAUCAAUAAGCGGAGGA
rnacentral:misc_RNA from 1 species